rnacentral:tRNA from 1 species
AUUUAAGUAAUUUAUAAAAAAAUAUCAAUUUGUGGAAUUGAAAAAACAAGAUUUGUCUUAAAUA